AAUAACUUAAGUAGUAAUAGUUAUAUUCUUUAAACUUAAAGAAUUUGGCGGUAUUUUAAUCAAUUCAGAGGAACUUGUUUUUUGAUCGAUAGUCCCCGUUAAUUUUUACUAAAUUUAUAUAUUUGUAUAUCGUUGUCGAAAGAUUAUUUUAUAAGAAUAAAUAAUUUUCUAGGUUUAUAAUUUUAAAAGAUGUCAAAUCAAGGUGCAGUUAAUAAUUUAGGGAAAAUGAGUUACAAUAAGAUUAUUUAAACGGAUAUUUUAAUGAAAAAUAGAAUUAAAGGUGGAUUUGAAUGUAAAUUAGUUUUAAAAAAAUUGGUUGAUUUUAGCUCUAAAGUAUGUACACAUCGCCCGUCGCUCU
rnacentral:rRNA from 1 species